ACGGGGUGCACCAGGCGAGAAAACUUUGCAAUGUGCGAAAGCACGACAAGGUUAAUCCGAGUGUUUUCUGCUAAAGAAAUCUUUUGUCAGUCAUAAAACCACUAACGAAUAAGGGGUGGGCAAGUUCUGGUGUCAGCCGCCGCGGUAAAACCAGCACCUCAAGUGGUCAGGAGGAUUAUUGGGCCUAAAGCAUCCGUAGCCUGCUGUAUAAGUUUUCGGUUAAAUCCAUACGCUCAACGUAUGGGCCGCCGGGAAUACUGUACAGCUAGGGAGUGGGAGAGGUAGACGGUACUCGGUAGGAAGGGGUAAAAUCCUUUGAUCUAUCGAUGACCACCUGUGGCGAAGGCGGUCUACCAGAACACGUUCGACGGUGAGGGAUGAAAGCUGGGGGAGCAAACCGGAUUAGAUACCCGGGUAGUCCCAGCUGUAAACUAUGCAAACUAAGUGAUGCGUUGGCUUGUGGCCAGCGCAGUGCCUCAGGGAAGCCGUUAAGUUUGCCGCCUGGGAAGUACGUACGCAAGUAUGAAACUUAAAGGAAUUGGCGGGGGAGCAC
rnacentral:rRNA from 1 species